ACGGAAGGCAGCAGUGGGGAAUAUUUCACAAUGGGCGCAAGCCUGAUGCAGCGAUGCCGCGUGAGGGAAGAAGGUUUUCGGAUUGUAAACCUCUGUCAACAUGGACGAAAAUGACGGUACCUGUGAAGGAAGCUCCGGCUAACUACGUGCCAGCAGCCGCGGUAAUACGUAGGGAGCAAGCGUUAUCCGGAAUUACUGGGUGUAAAGGGAGUGUAGGCGGGACUGUAAGUCAGAUGUGAAAUAUGCCGGCUCAACUGGCAGACUGCAUUUGAAACUGCGGUUCUUGAGUGAAGUAGAGGUAAGCGGAAUUCCUAGUGUAGCGGUGAAAUGCGUAGAUAUUAGGAGGAACAGCAGUGGCGAAGGCGGCUUACUGGGCUUUAACUGACGCUGAGGCUCGAAAGCGUGGGGAGCGAACAGGAUUAGAUACCCUGGUA
rnacentral:rRNA from 1 species